GAGUGGCGAACGGGUGAGUAAUACAUCGGAACGUGCCCAGUCGUGGGGGAUAACGUAGCGAAACUACGCUAAUACCGCAUACGACCCGAGGGUGAAAGCGGGGGACUCGCAAGAGCCUCGCGCGAUUGGAGCGGCCGAUGGCAGAUUAGGUAGUUGGUGGGGUAAAGGCCCACCAAGCCUGCGAUCUGUAGCUGGUCUGAGAGGCGACCAGCCACACUGGGACUGAGACACGGCCCAGACUCUACGGGAGGCAGCAGUGGGGAAUUUUGGACAAUGGGCGAAAGCCUGAUCCAGCCAUACGCGUGCGGGAAGAAGGCUUCGGGUUGUAAACCGCUUUUGUCAGGGAAGAAAUACUCCGGGCUAAUACCCUGGGGUGAUGACGGUACCUGAAGAAUAAGCACCGGCUAACUACGUGCCAGCAGCCGCGGUAAUACGUAGGGUGCAAGCGUUAAUCGGAAUUACUGGGCGUAAAGCGUGCGCAGGCGGUUCUAUAAGACAGAUGUGAAAUCCCCGGGCUCAACCUGGGAACUGCAUUUGUGACUGUAGAGCUAGAGUACGGUAGAGGGGGAUGGAAUUCCGCGUGUAGCAGUGAAAUGCGUAGAUAUGCGGAGGAACACCGAUGGCGAAGGCAAUCCCCUGGACCUGUACUGACGCUCAUGCACGAAAGCGUGGGGAGCAAACAGGAUUAGAUACCCUGGUAGUCCACGCCCUAAACGAUGUCAACUGGUUGUUGGGAGGGUUUCUUCUCAGUAACGAAGAACGCGUGAAGUUGACCGCCUGGGGAGUACGGCCGCAAGUGAAACUCAAAGGAAUUGACGGGGACCCGCACAAGCGUGGAUCGAUGUGGUUUAAUUCGAUGCAACGCGAAAAACCUUACCUACCCUUGACAUGUCUGAAAUCCUGCAGAGAUGUGGGAGUGCUCGAAAGAGAAUCAGAACACAGGUGCUGCAUGGCCGUCGUCAGCUCGUGUCGUGAGAUGUUGGGUUAAGUCCCGCAACGAGCGCAACCCUUGUCAUUAGUUGCUACGAAAGGGCACUCUAAUGAGACUGCCGGUGACAAACCGAGGAAGGUGGGGAUGACGUCAGGUCCUCAUGGCCCUUAUGGGUAGGGCUACACACGUCAUACAAUGGCCGGUACAGAGGGCUGCCAACCCGCGAGGGGGAGCCAAUCCCAGAAAACCGGUCGUAGUCCGGAUCGCAGUCUGCAACUCGACUGCGUGAAGUCGGAAUCGCUAGUAAUCGCGGAUCAGCUUGCCGCGGUGAAUACGUUCCCGGGUCUUGUACACACCGCCCGUCACACCAUGGGAGCGGGUCUCGCCAGAAGUAGUUAGCCUAACCGC
rnacentral:rRNA from 1 species